rnacentral:lncRNA from 1 species
CCUUCUUGGCGGUUGAACUCUUAAUUGUUGUUCAUUCCGCUGUGAGAUUCUUGCUCUUCCACGUGUCACCAAUUGUGGCUCCUCCUCGUUUGAAUCAUCUUCAUCAACAUCUUCAACGACAACCUCAUCAUCAGUAUGUUGUAUACCAAAAAUAUUUGUAGACGGCAUAGUAGGACGAUAAUAUUGUUGAGGAUCAUAUGCCGAGAAUGGUGUAGUUGAACUAGUAGCAAACAUUGUUGGUAUUGGGUUUUGAGAACUUGAUGAGAAAUAAUUGUAUGGGGAAUCAUAAUUUGAAAACCCAUAUUGUUGUUGUUGUUGUUGUUAAUGUUGAGUAACUGAUGAAGUAUGUCCUUGAUAAUGACUAUCCACUAGAGUUUGUUGUGGAGAGUCAGUUUCCGGUAUAUCAUAAUGAUGAGUAGGAUGAGCAUCAUCAAUGUGGGUAGAGUAUGCAUUGGGGUAUAGUUCAGCCAAUGCUCCCAUCAUUUCACGUCCCGAUGAGAAGACGUCACAUAAAGAUUGUGUGGGAUUAAUAAGUGAAGCUGAAGGACGACUCUGAUCACAAAUUCUUUUUGCAAAAGUGUACUGAAAAAUUAAAGAAAAUUAGAAUUAAAUAAUAUAAUUACAAAGGAAGUGUAAUUUAUAAUUUUGUUUACCGUUGCAUCAGAGUGUGCUCCACCU